GGCGAAUGUGGUGGGAAUUCUGGAGACUCAGAUCGAAGCUAGCUGUUUCCCUCUAUUUUCUCUAAAUCGUCGUAACGUCUGCAGAGAGUUAGAAUAACGCGUGCUUCCAUCCACGACAUCGCCAUUUCACGAUUAGUCGUCUAUCAUGAAGCAGUUUUGGUCAAACAGCAAGGAGGAUUUAGUUGCUGCGGAGGAAGGCAAAGCGAAUUUGGUACCAGUUCCUAAAAAUGGUUGUCGGAAGUUUACACAAAUCGUCCAAUCAAUUUUGGUGAUUGAAAUCGCCCUUUUUCUCGGAUGGGCCUUUUUUUCAUUCUAUCAAAGCCAAUACGUUUCGCCGACGGAUCUGAAGGAGGACCAAUUAAGGAAAAGUGCACUGAAGAAGAAUUUUCAAUUGAAUCCAGAUAGUCCGAAUGAUUUAGAUUUUAUUACAUGGCAAGAGAAAUCAAGUCAGAACAAGGCAUUCGAUCCACCAUCGAGCAGUGAACCUUGGUCGGCAAAAACGCAAAACGUUCUGAUCCCUGAAUCAUUCACGGAAACUGAUUCAGUCUUACUUAACGAAGAUUCUGUUUUUCAUUCACAACAAUCUUCACCUUACGUAACAAUACCUUCAGAAAUAAAGGAAUCUACUGAAUAUGUUACAGAAACUACUCCUGUGCCAACGCAUAUUGCAAACCUAAAAAAUCAGGAAAAUUUGAAUGAAUUUGAAUCUGAAAUUGGAAUGUCAAUUGUUACCGAAGCACCCAGAAAAAUGGUAGAAGAUAUAGCAGAAACAAGUUCAGAGAUUCCUCAAAUGUCAACUUUGGUAGCAGAAAUGGAUGGUAAUUCCAGCGCGGUUGAAAAGUUUCAAAAGGAACUAGAGAAAGAAAUUCAAAAGGUUUUGGACAAAUCACAAAAAGAUGAAGAUUUCUCUCCACUAAAUCUUAUUCAAAUUUUGCACGAUUUAGACAGAGCUAAGGCUACAGCUGCAGAAAGUGUACCCGCUGAAGAAAUUGUACCAUCGUAUGUUAAAAAGUAUCAUUUCCAAUUUUCGAUGGGACCAGAAACUGGAAUUCAAGAAAGUGUUGAUAAUGAAAAGUCUCAAGAAGUUUCGCAACAGAUUCCAUUCUUUAUACACGUUUUUUUUAAUGUGAGUGAUAGUGAUGUGUCUUCAGCUGAGAAUGCUGAUAGUUUCUUACAAGGUAAACAAAGUGUCUCAGAUCCAGGAUCUUUCUUCGCAGAUUCUGGAUUUUCCAGACAGCCAACAAUUGAAGACAGCUCUUUGGAUGACGAAUCUCUGAAGUGGUGGGUCAACAUUCCGGAAUUUCAGCAGACGAAAGUUGGAAGCUUCAGUGAUGAAGAAUCUCAACGAGAAAGUAUGAUUCUGACAAGCGCACCUAAAAAUGAAGAAUCUGGAGAACAAAGUUUGUUUAACUUAUUUUUUAAUCAAUCAGAUUCCCCAAGUGUAAUCCCUGAAUCGAACGAACAUGAAUAUAAAUCCAAUGAAGUACUAGAGGCUCAGCCAGAAAGUUCAGACACUCUUCUCACAGCCGCUGUUUCACAGAUUUUGCCUGAUGAAGUAGACCUAGUUGAUCAACAUAUGAAAAAAAUUGACGAACAGAGUUCAGUGGAGCCAAAUCAUGGAUAUGUAAAAGAGGCGAUUCCUGAAGAAGCAUUGGUAAAUGAAGCAGAAUUAGAAAAACAAAUAAACGAUUUUAUGAAAGCACUUGAAAAUAUCAAAAUUUCAAAUGAAGAUCGUGUUAUUAAUGGUAUUCACACUGAAAGUAAUUUAAAUCAAGAGGAAAGUAUGAAAGUGGAGGAAGAAACAGUUUCUGAAGAAAAUCAAGAAAUUCCAGAAACGGAUAUUUCUUGGAAGGACGAACAAAAACGGUUUCAUUCUCAACCAACCUGGAAAGAAGAGACAGAUGGAGAUUUAAACGAAUGGUUUAAAAAUUUGGAAGCCGAGAAUUACGAGUAUGAAGAAUCUUCGAAAUUUGAUUCAAGAGAUUACAUGUAUAAUGAUUAGGAAACAGGAGUGUUCUUUUUGUCAUUACAUCUAAUGACUCUAAAACAUGAGAGAGUCUAAUUUUUGGGAUUAGCCUUUAAAUUUGAAAACGAGUCCGACUACUCAGACUAGUUUCCAAUACAUUUUAUGUAAGCUAUACUGAUUAAGGAAAGAGUAAUAGUCAGCGAUGGAAAAUAAAUUAUGUAAUAGUAA